GCGGUACCACCGCCCAAUCGCCGCGGGGCGGGCCAGGGAACCAGGCACAUGGGGUGAAUCCGCAUCAGCGGAGACCACUUCCGGCCCGGACCUGUCAGCUAACCCGGUCGGCGGUCAACGGAAGGGAU
rnacentral:sRNA from 18 species